GUAGCCGUUUCAGGCUGGAGGGAACAUUCCCUAAGGCUCCUCUCCAUCUGUGUCCUUGGCGAUUUCCCUGCCUUGGUGAAGUAGGUGGGGAACCACUUCCUCCAGGGAUCUCCCCCUGCUCACCGAUGGUAGAAAUGGGCAGGGGAACUGCGUUGCCAUGGCAGCAACUCCACUAGCUCUUCCAUUCGAAGAAAGUCUGGCUCAAGGGAUCUGCCUGGUACUCCCCAUGGCAAAGUCAGCGAGGAACUGCAUUCUCUUAAUGGAGUCAAGCCUGAGGAUGAAGCUAACACAGAAAGGAAGGCAGAGCAGAGACAAGUACCAAGACUAUGCUGGAGUCUUGAUCAAACAACAUAUGAAUUUCACUCUAUUUCUGGACUUUUCAAUGACACCUGCAAUAUUAUAUCCACUUUCAUGGCUGCAACCACCACAUCCAUGGGACGACUCCAAAGCAUCCAUCUCAGUCCUUGACAGACAGUUGCAGAUCUCCAGCUGACUGUCAAACACUCUUAACUGCAGAACUGCUGCCAUAAUGUGUUUAAGCUCUAACUGAGGAUCUGUAACUGACUAGCCAUGUGAACUCGGAACUGUCACGUAUCUUUCAGAACUUCAGCGUUUCAUUCGACAACAAGAAUGGUUUGAAGUUGAAUAUCUACCGUACAAGACUUUAAGGCCUAGGAGGAGCCUUGUCUAUCCAAUUAUUGACGGGACCUCUUUAGCCUAAGGUUCCUGUAGUUGUAAUGUGUGCCGUCCAAUACAGUUUAAAUUUAAAUUUAAUUAAACGUAUAUUCAAUUGAAAAUUCAUGUCAUCUGCUUCACUAGCCACAUUUAAAUGUUCAGUUGCCACUUGUGACGGUGGCUACCAUAAUGGACAAUGCUGAUAUAGAACAUUUUCAUCCCUGCAGAAUGUCUCAUUGGAUAAUGCUGUAGGUUAACCAACCACCACGUAUAAAGCCAAAAUUAUCUUCCUCUCCAUUAGCUCAAACUUUAUACUUCCUACGUCUCAUAGUAGCAUUAACACCAUUGUUAUGGACUGAAUUGUGUCCCCCACCAGAUUCAUAUGUUGAAGUCUAACCUCCCCCCAAUAUGACUGCAUUUGGAGAUAGGGACCUUAGGGAGGUGAUUAAGGUUAAAUGAAAUCAUAAGAGUGGGAGCCUAAUGCAAUAGGUCUCGUUCCUUACAAGAAGAGGAAGAGAUAUCAGAGAUCUCUUCCUCUCUGCACUUGUGCAGGGAAAGAACAUGUGAGGAGGCAGUGAGAAGGCAGCCAUCUGUAAUCCAGGAAGAAAGACUUCACCAGUAACCAACACGGAUGGCACCUUGAUCUUAGAUUUCUG
rnacentral:lncRNA from 1 species